UAUGAUUUUCAUAAAUUUGAAAUUUUUCAUAAAGUUGAAGCCACGGGAACAGCUAGUAUGUACUAAAGCCUUAGUUUCUUAAGAAUAUAGUUCUAAGUUUCAAUUGUAAAACAAGGGUAUGUGCGAAGGCAUUAAACGACAGCUCCCUAAUGGUUUACCCGAAUGGAAUCUUAACAAGCGUCAGCUGCACCGAAUGCCAGGGAUUACGGAAACAGGACACGUAGGCGACGAACUGGACAAGGGAAUUAUCUCCUUACUGGCUGCAACAUAUGCACCCAGAUGCACGUUGGCUAUAUUUUACUAAAUCGAAGUAGAAGAGGAAUAAACCAUAAUUCACGCACCUUCCGAUCAAAUAUCCGUUUCGAGGUCACUCCGCCAUAAAGCUUUCCGAACAAAGCAUUGAGCUUAUUGAAAGGAUUUUCGGUUUUCAGAUAUAAUAGGUAUUACUAGCUGUUGCCCGAGACUUCGUUCACGUGAAAUCAAAAAAAUCAAAACACAGCCUAUGUUA